ensembl:lncRNA
UUUUUAUUUGACCUUAUUACAAAUAUAAAUGCCCAGUAGUAUUUUGAUAUAGUAAAAUGAUAGUCCAUACAUGUCACCACAAUCUGCUUUAGCCUAUAAACUAUUGUUAGAUUGAAUCCUAUCCCUAACAUAAUCUGUUUUAUGUACCAUUGUUGUCUGUGGGGUCUGUGCACGCUCACGUUUACGCUUGUUUUGAAGUGUCCCUCACUGACUCCAUGUCCACGUGUCUUCUCUCUGUGUGUUUGCAUUUUGGUGUGUGUAGUUCAGAGUCUGACCCCAUAAAAAACUGUGGUGAAAAGGCUAAAAGCUCAGCCCUGAAAGCAGACUCCAGUUCUCAACCUGUGAGGCGUAGUGACAGCCAGGAGAAGGUGGCAUGCGUUAGGGUCGACUUGAGUCCAGAAGAUUCACCCGAAGGCGGCUCCGCGACCGAGACCUUCCUGUGACGGAGCAGGCGUUUCCUCCGCCCCCUGCCCCAACCCCCCCCCCCCCCCCCCCCCCCCCGGGGCCGCUUCAACGCGGGACUAAGGAGUGUAGCUUAAAACGGAGGAGAAGCACAAAAAAAACGCAGCCUGGCGAGCUCUUGUCAUGAGCGAUGGGCCAUAAAAACAACUGCCAUGAGGUUUAAACGUGCACAUCACGAACAUGAAGGAGGAUGUUACUGCCCAAUUCACUGUUUGUUUUUUUUUAUAGAAAGUUAAUUUAUCCAUUUUAAAGUCAGAUGCCAAAGGAAAGGGCCUCACUGCUGGGGAUCAAGGACUGUUUUGACUAUAGUGUAGUUUUUAUUUUCAAAUCUUUGUUAUAGCUGCUGUACAUUUUCUUACAAUAGCUCACAUUCAGUCUUUUUGUGAGUCUUAAUAAACACCAGCAUUCAAUCCAUUUUAAAAAGAAGCCAUUAAUUGUCAAUCAAGGUAAUUCUGGCACAAACAUACCAACUUCUAUAUACAAAAUAUAUAUCUAUGGUCACCACACUACUUCUACAACUACAGUACUUUGCGCGCCAGGACAUUUUUCAGUGUUAUUGUUGCUGCUCUAAAGGUCAAAGGUCACAUCUUGUAAUAAACCUCAUUCAUUAUAUGCUGUUACAUAAAUAAUUAUUAGUGUAUGUAAAAUGUAUGUACGCUGUGAUCAGUUCAUUUGAUGUGACUUCAGAGGCCAUAUUGAAAAGUCUGUACUGUACAAUAAGCACUUUGCCAGUAUAACUUCUUAAAAGGAACACAAUACACUGAUGUCCAUAAAGUUUGAAUUGUUUGCUCGAUAUUUGCUAAGGUUUUCUGUCAGUAUGUUUUUUAGAAGGUGCAUUAUGUAACUUUUUAGGGAGGCCACCUGCCACCUGCUUGUCUCCAUGGAGAUGUCUGGAACUGCGCAGUAUGGCAUUACACUUUUUUAUCUCCACAAACACAAGCAGGCGACACCAACAGGCCAAGUUAUCGGUCAGAUCUGUGGAGAGAUCUGUAAUUGGUUAAAUUUAAAGCCAUACUAUGGAAUGUUCCUGGCAAAGUAAUAACAUCUCCAUGGAGAAAAGCAAUUGAUG